UCCGGGGCUGGGGGCGCGCAGACUCGGCUGCGGCGGCGUGGCCCUGGGGCCCGGGUCAGCGGCGGCAUGGGGCGAUUGAGCUGGCAGGUGGCGGCCGCGGCGGCUGUGGGCCUGGCUCUGGCUCUGGAGGCGCUGCCCUGGGUGCUGCGCUGGCUGCGGUCCAGGCGGCGGCGGCCGCGGCGCGAGGUGCUGUUCUUCCCGUCUCAGGUGACCUGUACCGAGGCCCUGCUGCGGGCUCCGGGCGCGGCGCUGGCCGGGCUCCCCGAGGGCUGCCCGUGCGGCCUGCCCCACGGCGAGAGCGCGCUAAGCCGCCUGCUGCGUGCCCUGCUGGCCGCCCGCGCCAGCCUGGAGCUCUGCCUGUUCGCCUUCUCCAGCCCGUAGCUGGGCCGCGCCGUGCAGUUGCUGCACCAGCGUGGGGUGCGAGUGCGGGUCGUCACCGACUGCGACUACAGGGCCCUCAACGGCUCUCAGAUCGGCCUGCUGCGCAAGGCAGGGAUCCAGGUCCGGCACGAUCAAGACCUGGGCUACAUGCAUCACAAGUUUGCCAUUGUGAACAAGAGGGUGCUCAUCACUGGCUCGCUCAACUGGACCACACAAGCCAUCCAGAACAACAGGGAGAAUGUUCUCAUCAUGGAGGAUGACGAGUACGUGCGGCUUUUUCUGAAAGAAUUUGAGCGCAUCUGGGAAGAGUUUAACCCUAAAAAGUAUACCUUUUUCCCACAGAAAAGGAAAAGCCACUGAAGCUGUGCCCCACUUGUCUCCAGAGCUGGAGGGAGAUUGCUUUCAUGGCACAGAACUUGCAGCACCUCCAGCCAAAACCAAACCUAA